GAACGGCCACAUUGGGACUGAGACACGGCCCAAACUCCUACGGGAGGCAGCAGUGGGGAAUAUUGCACAAUGGGGGAAACCCUGAUGCAGCAACGCCGCGUGAGUGAAGAAGUAUUUCGGUAUGUAAAGCUCUAUCAGCAGGAAAGAAAAUGACGGUACCUGACUAAGAAGCCCCGGCUAACUACGUGCCAGCAGCCGCGGUAAUACGUAGGGGGCAAGCGUUAUCCGGAUUUACUGGGUGUAAAGGGAGCGUAGACGGUUUUGCAAGUCUGAAGUGAAAGCCCGGGGCUUAACCCCGGGACUGCUUUGGAAACUGUAGGACUAGAGUGCAGGAGAGGUAAGUGGAAUUCCUAGUGUAGCGGUGAAAUGCGUAGAUAUUAGGAGGAACACCAGUGGCGAAGGCGGCUUACUGGACUGUAACUGACGUUGAGGCUCGAAAGCGUGGGGAGCAAACAGGAUUAGAUACCCUGGUAGUCCACGCCGUAAACGACGAAAACGAGGUGUUGGUGGGUAUGACCCAUCGGUGCCGC
rnacentral:rRNA from 1 species